AUCUAGUUCCAGGCCAAUAGAACUAUGUGUUUAUAGUCCAACUCUGAUCAGGAGCGACUCUUUCUGUGUUAUCAUCAAGGCCGAAGCGACAAGAUGAAGGGAGAUUAUUAAGGCCCAAAGCGACAAAAUAAUUCCCAUCCAUUAAGGCCAAAGCGACAAAAUGGAGCGACUCGCUAUCAGAGUCUGAUUCUGACCAAAGCGACAGAAUGCGUGGAUCCUGACCAAAGCGACAGGAUCUAGUUCACUAUCAGAACCAAUGUUUAUAGUCCACCCUGAUCAAGAGCGACUUUACG
rnacentral:lncRNA from 1 species